rnacentral:rRNA from 1 species
GAUUGAACGCUGGCGGCAGGCUUAACACAUGCAAGUCGAGCGGUAGCACAGGGGAGCUUGCUCCCUGGGUGACGAGCGGCGGACGGGUGAGUAAUGUCUGGGAAACUGCCUGAUGGAGGGGGAUAACUACUGGAAACGGUAGCUAAUACCGCAUAACGUCGCAAGACCAAAGAGGGGGACCUUCGGGCCUCUUGCCAUCAGAUGUGCCCAGAUGGGAUUAGCUAGUAGGUGGGGUAAUGGCUCACCUAGGCGACGAUCCCUAGCUGGUCUGAGAGGAUGACCAGCCACACUGGAACUGAGACACGGUCCAGACUCCUACGGGAGGCAGCAGUGGGGAAUAUUGCACAAUGGGCGCAAGCCUGAUGCAGCCAUGCCGCGUGUGUGGAGAAGGCCUUCGGGUUGUAAAGCACUUUCAGCGAGGAGGAAGGUGGUGAGCUUAAUACGUUCAUCAAUUGACGUUACUCGCAGAAGAAGCACCGGCUAACUCCGUG